AUUGAACGCUGGCGGCAGGCCUAACACAUGCAAGUCGAACGGUAACAGGAAGCAGCUUGCUGCUUCGCUGACGAGUGGCGGACGGGUGAGUAAUGUCUGGGAAACUGCCUGAUGGAGGGGGAUAACUACUGGAAACGGUAGCUAAUACCGCAUAACGUCGCAAGACCAAAGAGGGGGACCUUCGGGCCUCUUGCCAUCGGAUGGGCCCAGAUGGGAUUAGCUAGUAGGUGGGGUAACGGCUCACCUAGGCGACGAUCCCUAGCUGGUCUGAGAGGAUGACCAGCCACACUGGAACUGAGACACGGUCCAGACUCCUACGGGAGGCAGCAGUGGGGAAUAUUGCACAAUGGGCGCAAGCCUGAUGCAGCCAUGCCGCGUGUAUGAAGAAGGCCUUCGGGUUGUAAAGUACUUUCAGCGGGGAGGAAGGCGAUAAGGUUAAUAACCUUGUCGAUUGACGUUACCCGCAGAAGAAGCACCGGCUAACUCCGUGCCAGCCGCCGCAGUAAGAC
rnacentral:rRNA from 1 species